GCGCGGGGGUCGGCGCUGAGGGGCCGUGAGGGGCAGCGGCGGGGCCGUGAGGGGAGGCAGUGAGGCCGUGAGGGGCGGCGGGCCGGGCCCCGGCGCUGAGGGCUGUUAGCGGCCGCCACACGUGCUGGCCGCGCCGCCCCGCAGCGGCCGCUCCAGCGGGGGCCCGGCCGAGCCCCGGCGGGACGGGGCGCUGCGGGCGUGGGGCCGGUGCGGAGCAGCAGCGGGGCGGCCUCGUCUCCCUCAGCCCGCGGGUGGUUGUCCGGAGCGGGGACACGAAGGUCGGAUCGCAGCCUCUGCUCGAGUCUCGCCCUGGGAAGCUGCGGCGCUGUGCUGUGUUAGUGCUGGCUUGAGCGGCUGAUUCUGAGGGAAGUGGUUUGGGUGUUCCUUAUAUUCCUUGGUUUAUUCCAGAGUUGAAAAAGCUUGAACAAUACAUUUCUCCAUGUUUGGAAAAAGAUAGUUGCUACAGACGAGGAGGAUAACCACUGGUAUUGCAAAAAGAUGAGUAUGUUAAAACCAAGUGGACUUAAGGCUCCUUCAAAGACCAUCAAGCACGGGGGUACAUUGCUGAAAACACCUGCACCUGUUGUUGCUGCUCCAGCAGAAAAAACAAUUCCUAGUGAGAGGACCUCAAGCACAGCCCCUGCAGAUGCACAUGAGGAGUUUGUGGAUGAUUUCAGAGUCGGGGAGCGCGUUUGGGUCAAUGGGAACAAACCCGGCUUCAUCCAGUUCCUGGGGGAGACACAGUUUGCUCCGGGGCAGUGGGCAGGGAUUGUCCUGGAUGAGCCCAUCGGAAAGAACGAUGGCUCAGUGGCUGGAGUUCGCUAUUUCCAAUGUGAACCCCUGAGGGGAAUAUUCACAAGGCCGUCCAAACUGACCAGGAAAGUGGUGACAGAGGAUGAAGCCAACGGUACCCAGACAGCUCAUGCUUCGCGAGCCACGUCCCCAACAUCCACAUCAGCUGCUAGUGCAGUGUCAUCCACCGCUGCACUCCCCCCUUCAGGAAUUCCACAGAAAACCCCCCUUGCUGCUAAGGAACAUGCAACUCCUUCUCAGAUUAGCAAUCUUUCCAAAACUGCCAGCGAAUCUAUAUCAAACCUCUCAGAAGCUGGAUCACUAAAGAAAGGAGAAAGGGAGCUCAAAAUUGGAGAUCGAGUGCUGGUUGGAGGAACAAAAGCUGGAGUGGUCCGUUUUUUGGGAGAAACUGACUUUGCUAAAGGAGAAUGGUGUGGAGUAGAGCUGGACGAACCCCUGGGAAAGAAUGAUGGAGCUGUCGCUGGCACGAGGUAUUUCCAGUGCCAGCCCAAGUACGGCCUGUUCGCCCCGGUGCACAAGGUGACCAAGAUCGGCUUCCCCUCCACGACGCCGGCCAAGGCCAAGCCCGCGGUGCGCAAGGUGCUGCCCACACCCACGGCCCUGAAGCGCAGCCCCAGCGCCUCCUCCCUGAGCUCACUGAGCUCGGUGGCCUCCUCCGUAAGCAGCAAGCCCAGCCGCACAGGACUCUUGACAGAAACAUCUUCCCGGUAUGCAAGAAAAAUUUCGGGCACCACAGCCCUCCAGGAGGCCCUGAAGGAGAAGCAGCAGCACAUUGAGCAGCUCCUGGCAGAAAGGGACCUGGAGAGGGCAGAAGUUGCAAAAGCAACGAGUCACGUUGGGGAGAUAGAGCAGGAAUUGGCUCUGGUUCGCGAUGGGCACGACCGGCACGUGCUGGAGAUGGAAGCAAAAAUGGACCAGCUCCGAGCUAUGGUGGAGGCAGCUGACAGGGAGAAAGUGGAGCUCCUCAAUCAGCUUGAGGAAGAGAAAAGGAAAGUUGAAGACCUUCAGUUCCGUGUAGAAGAAGAAUCCAUUACCAAAGGAGACCUAGAGCGAAAGAGGCAGAUUUCGGAAGACCCAGAAAAUACGCAGACCAAACUGGAGCAUGCCCGCAUUAAGGAGCUUGAACAGAGCCUGCUCUUUGAAAAGACCAAAGCUGACAAACUUCAGAGGGAGUUAGAAGACACUAGGGUGGCCACAGUGUCGGAAAAGUCCCGGAUCAUGGAGCUGGAGAGGGACCUGGCACUGAGGGUGAAGGAAGUGGCUGAGCUCCGAGGGAGGUUGGAUUCCAGCAAGCACAUCGACGACGUGGACACUUCUCUCUCCUUGCUACAAGAAAUCAGUUCUUUGCAAGAAAAAAUGGCAGCAGCUGGCAAAGAGCAUCAGAAUGAGAUGAACUCACUGAAAGAGAAGUUUGGCCUUAGUGAGGAAGCCUUGCAGAAAGAGAUCAAGUCCCUUUCAGCUUCAAAUGAGAGAAUGGCAAAAGAAAAUGAAUCCUUGAAAACCAAGCUUGACCACGCCAACAAGGAGAAUUCUGAUGUGAUAGAGCUGUGGAAGUCCAAGCUGGAAUCUGCAAUUGCCUCCCAUCAGCAAGCAAUGGAAGAGCUGAAAGUUUCUUUCAGCAAAGGUGUUGGGGCUCAGACAGCAGAAUUCGCUGAGUUAAAGACUCAGAUUGAGAAGAUGAAAUUAGACUAUGAGAACGAAAUGGCAAAUCUAAAAGUGAAACAGGAAAAUGAGAGAUCUCAUCACUUGAAAGAGAUCGAGUCGCUGAAAGCAAAACUGGUGGCAGUCACGGAGGAGAAAGAGCAAAACCUGGAAAGCCUGAAGACCAAACUGGAAAGUGUGGAAGAUCAGCAUCUAGUAGAAAUGGAAGACACUUUAAACAAAUUGCAGGAAGCUGAGAUAAAGGUAAAGGAGCUAGAGGUACUGCAAGCCAAGUACAAUGAACAAACCAAAGUUAUUGAUAGUCUUACACCACAGAUCAAAGCUGCUGAAGAAAAGCUUUUGGACCUUGCUGCACUUGAGAAAGCCAAUUCUGAAGGUAAAUUGGAAAUCGAGAAACUUAGCAAGCAGCUUGAGGCAGCUGAGAAACAAAUUCAGACUUUAGAGACUGAAAAGGGUGAUGGAAUUAGCCAGGCCAGUAAUCUGGCCAAAGAACUGCAGGGCAAAGAGCAAAAGCUUCUUGACCUUGAGAAAAACUUGAGUGCAGUAAAUCAAGUUAAAGAUUCUUUGGAAAAGGAACUUCAAGUUUUGAAAGAAAAGUUUGCUAGUGCAGCUGAUGAAGCAGAGAAUGUUCAACAAGCUAUGCAAGAAACGGUGAAAAAGCUGAACCAAAAAGAAGAGCAGUUUGCACUUAUGUCUUCAGAACUGGAGCAGCUCAAGUCUAGUUUGACUGAGAUGGAGAGGAAGCUGAGGGAGCGAGAAGAGAGGGAGCAGCAGCUGAUGGAAGCAAAAGCCAAACUUGAAAAUGACAUUGCAGAGAUCAUGAAGUCGUCAGGAGACAGCUCUGCCCAGCUCACAAGAAUGAAUGAUGAGCUGAGGUUAAAAGAAAGGCAGUUGGAGCAAAUACAACUUGAGCUUACAAAAGCAAAUGAAAAGGCUGCUCAGCUUGAGAAAAACGUGGAGCAGACAACACAGAAAGCUGAGCAGAGUCAGCAGGAAACUCUCAAGAUUCAUCAAGCAGAACUGAAAAACCUGCAGGAUCAAUUGUCAGACAUGAAAAAGCAGAUUGAGACCAGCCAACAUCAGUUCAAAGAUCUUCAGGCCAAGCAUGAAAAAGAAACUUCUGAGCUGGUGGCUAAACACGAUGCAGAUAUCCAAGGGUUUAAGCAGAACCUGAUGGAUGCAGAAGAGGCUCUGAAAAGUGCCCAGAGGAAAAACAGCGAGCUGGAGGCACAGGCUGAGGAGCUGCAGAAACAAGCAGAGCAGGCCAGAUCCUUAAGCUCUGUGUUAGCCUCAUCCAGAAAAGAAAUCGAACAAAUGUCAGACAAGAUGAGGGCUUUGAUAUCAGAAAAAGAGACUUUGGCACAGGAGGGGAGUACUUUAAAAUUAGAGAGAGGUCCUUUGUUAUCAAAACUUAAGGAAUUGAAAUCAAAGAUUUCGUUAAUGCAACAAGACCAAGAAGAACUGAAGGCAGAAAAUAAAAGAAUCCUAAAGCAGAAGGAAGAAGCUGAGGCCAAAAGCCAGCGGGAGAGCACAGAAAAGGGAGCUCUGGUUUCUGAGAAAAGCAGAUUACUCUCUGAACUGGAGGCACUGCAGGCAGAGCUGCUGAAGGCAGCUCAGGAAAAUGAGGCUCUCCGGUCCUUGGAGUUAACCUUGUUCCAAAAGCUGGAGGAACUUCAGGCCAGCAGAGAUGCCAUGGAUGCGGUGUGUCAGAAACAUGUCAAAGAAUGGGAAGAGCUGGAGAGUUAUCUGAAGAGUCUUUUGGAAGAUAAAGAUGCAAUUCUAAAAGACAAAGAUGAUGUUAUCCAGAAGCUGGGAAGUUCUUGUGAGGCCCUGGCCAAAGACCAAAGGGAGCUCCAGCAGCAAGUGUCAACUCUGGCUGCAGAGAGGGAUUCAGCCCUAGGGAAGCUCUUGGCUCUUCAAGACAAACAUGACACCCUGCACAAGGAGCUGCACAAGGUCUUGCAGGGCAUGCAGGAAGAGAGGGGGAUGCUCCUUGAAUGCACAGAAAAGCUGCAAGUGAGCUUAGACAACGCAGUCAGUGAAAACCAAGUGUUAAAAGUGAGAGAAGAGGAAAUGCAAACACAGCUCACCAAAGCGAUGAAAGACACCGCGGAGCUGGAGAAUUCCCUUGCGAGUCUCACUUGUUGUCUUGAGGAAAUGAAAGCCUCAAGAGAGACACUCAGUUUGGAAUGUAAUCAGUUACAUCAAGAGAAAGAGGCUCUUUCCUCAUCAGAACAGAGGCUUUUGGCUGAAAGGGAGCAGCUUCUCAAUGAAAAGGAGGCAAUUGCCGAGAAGCUUGCGAAGGCCUCAGCAGAUGCUGAGCUUUGUGAGCGAAUCUGCACUGAGAAAAUGAACAAACUGACCUUGGAAAAGGAAUCUGCCCUUCAGAAGUCAUUGCAGUUUGAAAAGCACAAUGAAGCUCUUCUCCAAGAGAAGAAUGAACUGGAGACAAAAUACUUGGAGCUUCUUGAUGAAAACAGGUCUUGUGCAAAGGCAGUUUCUGAUCUGAAGAGAGAACGUGAGCUGGACCUCUCGUCCAAGAAUGCUCUGGCUCAAGAGAAUGCCACUCUCCAAGAUUCCAUUGAAGCCCUGAAGGGAGAACUCAGUAAGAAGACUGCAGAAAAUCAAGAGUUAAUGACCUGUAAAUGUGACCUUUCCAGUCUUCUGAAGGAGGCCCAGGAUGCCAAAAGAGCAUUGGAAGGUGAGCUGGCUGCUGCAUCACACACCGAGCAGGUCCUGUCGUCUUCCUUGGAGACCUGCUCCUUUGCCAGGGAAAUGCUGACCAGAGAGAGGGAUGAGCUGCAAGAGGAGUGUCAGAAAUUAAACAGAGAAGUUGCUUUUGUGAAAGAAACCUUAACCUUGGAAAAGGAAGCUCGAAAACUGGACAAGGAAGCGUUUCUGUUCAGAUGUACAGAACUUCAAAGAACCAUCUGCUGCUUAGAGAAGGAGCUAAAAGAGCUGAAAGAGAAAAACAAAGCAGCUCUGGUUGUGGCAAAACAUAUAAUUCAGGAGAAGGAAAAAACUGACAUGAAUAUUAUGAAAAUAGUGAAAAAAAAAAUCUGGGCAGAGAAAGAGCAGAUCACUUCCAUCAUGGAGCGACAGAAGAGAGAAUAUGCUGCCUUGUGCAUCACAGCAGCAAAAUUCCGGGACCUGGACAGCUCCCUCUCCAGCAAGAUGAGUAUGUUUGAACACGAGAUGGAGCUGAUGGAAAAGGAGACAAUGGAGUUUUUUCAGGGACUGGAAAAACUGGAAGAACUGGAAAGGCUGCUCUCCCAGGAUUGUUGCAGACUGUGUGAGGCGGUUAAACUUUUCGAGCAAACUAAUAGUGACCUCUCAGGCAAACUGCUGGAGUCUCAGGGCCAAAAUCAGAUGCUGCAGGAGCAAACGAACAGUUUGAUUUUGAAAGUAAAAGAAACUGAGACUCUUCAGGCCCAAGCAGUAGUACAGAAACCAGAGGAGGCCAAACUGACAGAAGAUGUUUUCCAGGCAGUGGAACAGGUGACCAAGGAGAAGGACGCCAUUCACAAAGAAAAGAUUGAAACUUUGGCCUCUUUGGAGAACUCGAGACAGACAAACCAGAAGCUGCAGAAUGAAUUGGACAUGCUUAAACAAAACAACCUGAAAAAUGAAGAGGAACUUAAUAAAUCAAAAGAGCUUCUAAAUCUGGAGAACAAGAAAGUGGAAGAACUUAAAAAAGAAUUCGAAGCGCUCAAGCUGGCAGCGGCUCACAAGUCCCAGCAGCUCGAGGCUCUGCAGGAGGAGAACGUGAAACUGGCCGAGGAGCUGGGCAGGAGCAGGGACGAGGUGUCGAGCCACCACAAGCUGGAAGAGGAGAGAUCAGUACUCAAUAACCAGUUGUUAGAGAUGAAAAAGAGAGAAUCAACGUUAAAAAAAGAAAUUGAUGAAGAGAGAGCAUCUCUACAGAAAUCCAUCAAUGUUACUAGUGCCUUGAUCACACAAAAAGAUGAGGAACUGGAAAAACUCAGACAUGAGAUCACGGUGCUCCGCGGAGAAAACGCCUCUGCAAAAACCCUGCAGUCAGUGGUGAAGUCACUGGAGUCUGACAAACUGAAACUUGAGGAAAAGGUGAAGAACUUGGAGCAAAAACUCAAGGAAAACAACGAGCAGCCUUUAACUGUAGUGAGCCCCUCAGGUGAUGCUGCUACUCUGCUUCAGGAGGAAAUUGCAAGAGAGAAGCAGGUACUGGAUGUGCACAUGAGCAUGCUAAGCCAGCAGUGGGGCUGUAGGAGAGGGGAAUAUUCCAAAGACAGCCCCGGGUUUUGUCAGUCAGGUUUUUAAUGGGCAAAUUUAUCUUGUAGCCCCUCAGCUUCUGAAGAGAAAUGUCAGUGACAGUAAAUACUAAGAAUCAAGUGAUGAGUGAUACUGGAGAAACAGUUCAGAUCAUGGGACUGUGAGGGAAUAAGCAGGAAAUUAGGGUGGCAAGUUGUGUCCUGCAGUCUGUCAGAGGUCCAGCCAGCAGAGCACUCAGUGCUCCUUGACCUUUCCAAAGGUUUCUUGGAUGUGCAUGAGGAAAAGCUGUGGCCCACCUGAAGCUGGUGCUUGCCAUCCUGGAGAAAUGGGCUCCCUGAGCUCCUGGGGACCUCUGAGCACUGCAGAACUGGACUCAGAACAAGGGCUGGCAGCAGUGGAGAAGGAAGGUGCUCAGCUGGCACAGGAAGAUGUGAUUCAGAGUAGGAGAGUCAUAGUGACCUUGUGAAGUGCUGCUUCACAGGGGCCUGUGCCAACAAAUGCCUAGAAAAUAUGGUUAGAAGAGAAUCACCUUCUGCUCAUGAUAAAGCCUUUGUUAAAUCACUGAUGUCAGUCACAGUGAUUUAAAAAUGUCCUUCCCUGUUGUGCAGCCAUCAGAACUGUCAUGAAUAUACACUAACCACCAAUCUCUUUCUGGUUUUCUGCUUCCCUGAAUUCACCUGCUGAUGGCAACCCUUCCUUCCACCAGGGCGAGAUCGACUUCCUGAAUUCAGUGAUAGUGGAUCUACAAAGGAGGAAUGAAGAAUUGAACUUGAAAAUACAAAGAAUGUGUGAAGCAGCCCUCAAUGGCAAUGAAGAGGAGAUAAAUAACUAUGACAGUGAGGAGGAGAGCCAGUCCAAGAA